rnacentral:rRNA from 1 species
GCCAGGGGAUGCAAGCGUUCUCCGUCCUUCUUUUUCUUCCCGCGUCUGUAGGUGGCUUUUUAAGUCUGCCGUCAAAUCCCAGGGCUCAACCCUGGCCAGGCGGUGGAGACUACUAAGCUGGAGUACGGUAGGGGCAGAGGGAAUUUCCGGUGGAGCGGUGAAAUGCGUAGAGAUCCGGAAGAACACCGGUGGCGAAGGCGGUCCGCUGGGGUGUUGCUGACGCUGAGGCGCGACAGCGUGGGGAGCAAACAGG